rnacentral:rRNA from 1 species
UACGUAGGGUGCAAGCGUUAAUCGGAAUUACUGGGCGUAAAGCGUGCGCAGGCGGUUAUAUAAGUUAGAUGUGAAAUCCCCGGGCUCAACCUGGGAACUGCAUUCGUGACUGCAUGGCUAGAGUGCGGCAGAGGGGGAUGGAAUUCCGCGUGUAGCAGUGAAAUGCGUAGAUAUGCGGAGGAACACCGAUGGCGAAGGCAAUCCCCUGGACCUGCACUGACGCUGAUGCACGAAAGCGUGGGGAGCAAACAGG